rnacentral:rRNA from 1 species
GAUGAACGCUGGCGGCGUGCCUAAUACAUGCGAGUCGAGCGAACAGACGAGGAGCUUGCUCCUCUGACGUUAGCGGCGGACGGGUGAGUAACACGUGGAUAACCUACCUAUAAGACUGGGAUAACUUCGGGAAACCGGAGCUAAUACCGGAUAAUAUAUUGAACCGCAUGGUUCAAUAGUGAAAGACGGUUUUGCUGUCACUUAUAGAUGGAUCCGCGCCGCAUUAGCUAGUUGGUAAGGUAACGGCUUACCAAGGCAACGAUGCGUAGCCGACCUGAGAGGGUGAUCGGCCACACUGGAACUGAGACACGGUCCAGACUCCUACGGGAGGCAGCAGUAGGGAAUCUUCCGCAAUGGGCGAAAGCCUGACGGAGCAACGCCGCGUGAGUGACGAAGGUCUUCGGAUCGUAAAACUCUGUUAUUAGGGAAGAACAAAUGUGUAAGUAACUAUGCACGUCUUGACGGUACCUAAUCAGAAAGCCACGGCUAACUACGUG